GUCCAAUAAAUCGGUAGAAGGCUGGUUAAACCGUUUGGUUUUCGACCACUAGGACCCGGGUUCGAUCCCCGCAUUGGACA